rnacentral:lncRNA from 10 species
UGGCUCAGUCUCCUUUUAUUUUCAUGGGAUCUUUGGGGUGUUGCUUUUCUGGCCAGAAAACUCUGUGGCCAGUGGUGCCUUUGCCUGACUUUUGCUCAGGCCUGCUCACCUCGUUCUGCUCACCUGGCCUGGCAGGCUGUGCUUGGUUCACACUACCAGCCUGGAUCCCACACCUGCCAAGGGUGAGCCAGGUGGGGAGUGGCAGGGGGUGUGUGAACGAGCAAGCAUGGGGUCCGGCCACUGCACACAGUCAGGCAUGCUGGCUGCUGCAGUGGGGCGGGCAGCUCCAGGUGCUGGAACAGACACUGGCUCUCUGUGAGGCUGUGGCUUGACCAUGUGCAUGGCAAGCAGCUUCCCCAGCUGGCACCAGGGAAUGUGGUGGUGUUCAGGAGCUCAGCAAACACCAGAAACCACAGGACCUCAAAGAGGGAGUCACAGCCUGGGCUCGGGGAGCUCCCAGGUCUGGGCUCCCUGAGUGGCUGCAUCUCUUCUCUCCUUCUCUUCACCCACAGCGUGGUGAGCACAGGGCACGUUUCAGCCCUGUUUAUGUUAUAGCUCUUUUA